AAAAAUUUCCCAUCAAGUUUCUUAAAAAUAUUACUACUUUGGGAAUGCCGUAUCAUAAAUUAGAAUUGAAAUUUUAUUCAUUUGAAG